GACGAACGCUGGCGGCGCGCCUAACACAUGCAAGUCGAACGAGCGAGAGAGAGCUUGCUUUCUCGAGCGAGUGGCGAACGGGUGAGUAACGCGUGAGGAACCUGCCUCAAAGAGGGGGACAACAGUUGGAAACGACUGCUAAUACCGCAUAAGCCCACGGCUCGGCAUCGAGCAGGGGGAAAAGGAGCAAUCCGCUUUGAGAUGGCCUCGCGUCCGAUUAGCUAGUUGGUGAGGUAACGGCCCACCAAGGCGACGAUCGGUAGCCGGACUGAGAGGUUGAACGGCCACAUUGGGACUGAGACACGGCCCAGACUCCUACGGGAGGCAGCAGUGGGGAAUAUUGCGCAAUGGGGGAAACCCUGAUGCAGCGACGCCGCGUGGAGGAAGAAGGUCUUCGGAUUGUAAACUCCUGUUGUUGGGGAAGAUAGUGACGGUACCCAACAAGGAAGUGACGGCUAACUACGUG
rnacentral:rRNA from 1 species